AUGUGUGGUCAUCAGGAUGAGUCACUUUUUUAUUCUCUGGUAACGUGCGACCACGCGAAGUUAUUCUGGAGAGAAGCCGAGAAUUUCUUCGAUUUCAAGCUACCUCGGCUACACCCAGUUAUGUGGUCAAGGGAUUUGCUUGAUUCCAGUUUCAUUGGGAAAGAUCGAGCGGCCAUCAUUAUCUCAGUUAUGUGGAUAAUAUGGUCGAGUAGGAACAAGUAUACCCACGAGGAGGUCAAAUACCAGCCCGGUAGGUCAAUGGUUCUAGUGAAAGAGCUCAUUCAAGCUCUGUACAUUCCUUCCGAAGCCGUCGACAUGAAAGAUCUUGAGAGGGUGAGAUGGAAACCGCCGGAAGAGGGAUGGCGGAAAAUCAAUACUUAUGCUACUGUUGAUGUGAAUGGGGGAUGA
rnacentral:rRNA from 1 species